GAUGGACGCUAGCGGCAGGCUUAAUACAUGCAAGUCGUGGGGCAGCAUGUCCCGCAGCAAUGCGGGAUGAUGGCGACCGGCAAACGGGUGCGGAACACGUACACAACCUUCCUUUAAGUGGGGAAUAGCCCAGGGAAACUUGGAUUAAUACCCCGUAAUAUAUAGAAGCGGCAUCGCUUUUAUAUUAUAGCAGCAAUGCGCUUGAAGAUGGGUGUGCGGCUGAUUAGGUAGUUGGCGGGGUAAUGGCCCACCAAGCCGACGAUCAGUAACUGGUGUGAGGGCACGACCCGUCAAACGGGAACUGGGACACGGGCCCGACUCCUACGGGAGGCAGCAGUAAGGAAUAUUGGUCAAUGGACGCAAGUCUGAACCAGCCAUGCCGCGUGGAGGAUGAAGGUCCUCUGGAUUGUAAACUUCUUUUAUCUGGGAAGAAAUCCAUUUUUUCUAAAAUGGUUGACGGUACCAGAUGAAUAAGCACCGGCUAACUCCGUGCCAGCCGCCGCCGUAACAC
rnacentral:rRNA from 1 species